rnacentral:rRNA from 1 species
UACGGAGGGGGCUAGCGUUGUCCGAAGUUACUGGGCGUAAAGCGCGCGUAGGCGGGUUGGUAAGUCCGCUGUGAAAGCCCGGAGCUCAACUCCGGAGGGUCGGUGGAUACUGCCAGUCUUGAAGGUGCUAGGGGGAGAUGGAAUUACCGGUGUAGCGGUGAAAUGCGUAGAUAUCGGUAGGAACACCAGUGGCGAAGGCGGUCUCCUGGGGCAUUCUUGACGCUGAGGCGCGAAAGCUGGGGAGCGAACGGGG